rnacentral:lncRNA from 1 species
UUGUAAUAGUUUCUGUAUGUCGUUUCUAUUGUAGCAUAAUAGAUUUGUGUAUAUUCUUUAUAACCGCGGACACGUGAGGUAACGUUACUCAUUUUAUAACCUUUAUGGUGUUAUAUUCAAUCGUGCUUAGGUAGCUAGCUACAUUUUUCUAUCAGCUCUGUAAAACAAUGCUAAUUGCGUCAGAGAAGUAUUAUCUUGUGUUGUAUUUUGAAGCUACAUGGCCUUAUGACUCCCUAGUGGCGCAGCGGUCAAAGGCACUGCACAUCAGUGCUAGAGACGUCACUACAGACUCCCUGGUUCAAAUCCAGGCUGUAUCACAACUGGCUGUGAUUGGGAGUCCCAUAGGGCAGCGCACAAUUGGCCCAGCGUUGUCCGAGUUUGGCCGGUGUAGGCCAUCAUAGAAACCACAAACAGUAUUUGCCAAUAUCAUAACUGGAACUGGACAUCUUUCCAGCUGAAGAUUGAGGACAGCUUUUGUAUGCUAACGUUCUCUCCUUAACAGUUUUACUGGAUGGAAACACAGCAAGAAAACACAUAGGCCAAUAUGUAAUAGUCGUCUAUUUUAUUGAAGUAUUGGUAGUUGGUUCAACAACAACUUGUUUUACUAGAGGACAAAAAAAAUGGAAUAUGCAUAACCCAUAUUUAAUAUUCAUGCAGUGACUGAACAACAACUGCAUUUCCACCCCCACCUCUAAAGGCAUAGUAUCAUGGCAGGUCACCUGUCAAGUCACCUGUCAGGUCAGUCAGUCACUUAUUGCUGCAGAUGUGCUCAAUAAUGCUUGAGCUAGGGCUGGGCGAUAUGGACCAAAAGUCAUAUCCCGAUAUAUUUAGGCUGAAUAUCGAUAUAAGAUAUAUAUCCUGAUAUUUUUUUCUGCAAAGUGAGAGCAAAUGUUCAGUCAAAGUCAAAGCCAGAUAUGACAUGUCUCAAGUAGUUUUAUUGAAAGCGGCUAUUUCAGUGAACAGUUGAAAAAUCAAAUGAAUAAAUAAUAAACAGGGCUCUUCACCUGGUUCAGAUUAAAUGCUCAGCUGUUCAAAUAACAACAACAUGUAAACAUAAACACUGUAGAACAACAGGACGAC